GACGAACGCUGUCGGCGUGCUUAACACAUGCAAGUCGAACGAAGUGGCGAACGGGUGAGUAACGCGUAAUCAACCUGCCCUUCAGAGGGGGACAACAGUUGGAAACGACUGCUAAUACCGCAUACUGAAGGAGGGGAUUGCGUCUGAUUAGCUAGUUGGAGGGGUAACGGCCGACCAAGGAGAUGAUCAGUAGGAGGGUGGAGAGGAUGAACGGACACAUUGGGACUGAGACAAGGCCCAGACCCCUACGGGAGGCAGGAGUGGGGAAGCUUCCGCAAUGGACGAAAGUCUGACGGAGCAACGCCGCGGGAGUGAUGACGGCCUUCGGGUUGUAAAGCUCUGUUAAUCGGGACGCGGUACCGGAAUAGAAAGCCACGGCUAACUACGUGCCAGCAGCCGCGGUAAUAC
rnacentral:rRNA from 1 species